GAAAACGCUGUGAGAAAGUUGAGUAGCGUCAAGACAACCUGAAGCGAGCUUCGUUUGGUGAGAGGAAGCAGGAGGAUUGACGCGAAAAUCCCUUUUGAGCGAUGUACCGAAGAACAAGAGUAACGUGCAUUGGUGACACCCAUUAUCGUGUUAGCGUAUCGCUUUUUUGGCCGUACGUGAAAGGCAGUUGUAGCGAUAUAACUGCAAAUAUAAGGUGGUACAGUGCAGUAGGCGCCCUUAAU
rnacentral:ncRNA from 1 species